rnacentral:lncRNA from 1 species
UAUAAUGGAAUAGAAUAUAAGCUUUAAUGAUAAUGGAAUAGAAUAUAAGCUGGAAUUACCCUUUGGAGCUCAGUUAGCUCAUCGCUCUAGUACGGUAAGUCAGUCAAUUGGUUAAAACCCAGUAAAUGACAUCUCUUUCCUCUCCUGCGCUUGGGAAUCUCUACCUUGCUUGGGAAGACAAUGGUUCUCUCUAUUUGCCCUUGGGAAGACAAGACGAUGCUUCUAUCUCCAUUUUCUAUCUGUAGUAACAAUGCCAGUUCAAGCUAUCUUCGUAGGUCCCAUUCAUUCUCGAUAAUAAGUGAGCAAUCCAUUUCCUAGAGUAGUUCAUUCUUACCAUAGAGUUCCUAGAGUAGUUCAUUCUUACCAUAGAGAGUAGUGAGCGUUCUUCCCGGCCUCUUUUUCUUUAUGAGCCGAAAUCACUGGUUUCAUGGGUCUUAUAGGUCAUCCUCUAAAAAGAAAGAAAUAUAGCUUGAUUUUCGGGAAAGAACUAUCGGGCUCUUCCUUCCCUUGUUUGCUUUGCGCUCUUCUGUUGUGCGUGCUUGUCUUUGAGGUUGCUUAUUGCUUCUGGAACUUUACUGAAGGAAUAUGCUGUGCGCUGCGGAAUGGAAUAUAAGUAACAUAUGCAUUAGUUAUGAAUAUUAAGUAACAGACUCCAUAAUUGAUGAAAUCAUCUCUCGAGCGCCCUUGGCAAUACGGAAUGGAAUCUAGCAGUCCUUAUUCCGUUACUAGUUCGAUGCGCCCUUUGCAAUAAGGAAUCUAAUCUAGCGGAGACUCAUAUAGAAUAGAGUAAACAAACACUAGAAUGAAAAUCACCUUCAUAAGAGAAACAUUAAUGAAAAUAGUAGUGCACAUAGAAUCAAAUAGAAUAAGAUUACUCAACACUUAAUGAACUCUACUUACUUGUUUUGUUUGAAUAUGAUUUAGUGCCCACAUAGAAUCAAAUAGAAUAAGAUUACUCAACACUUAAUGAACUCUACAACUCCGUAAGCGCUUGUUUCUUCAUAUUAUACCAUUCUGUAACAUCACUCCUAUGACUUAAUAACAUAUCGGCAUCCUCAUUCAUUGGUCCAGAAACUGCAUUCACCUGAAUAGCCAGACCAAGUAAGACUCUUGAUAAGCCAGAGCCCUAUACCCUACUUCCUUCUUUAGGCUCUGCACUCUAUCUCGGCACAUCUUUUAAAGUACCAUCGGCUCUUUUUUACUGUGUCAACAAGACCUUCCCAAAACUCUCUUUUUCCGGAGACUGAUCAAGAUUUCCACUAUCGAAUUUCUACUAGGUAGGCUUUUAUAGCAGUGAUGGUACUGGAUGGCUUUAGACACAGGGUUCGUUUUCUCACCGUCGUGGAAUAUCGAUGGUUUUCUUCGCUACGACAGGCUCCAGAGCUUAUCCAAAAGAAAGAUCACAGGGCCGCGCAUAUGUUAGAACAACGCCUGAGCGCAGAGUUGUAUGCCGAAAGAAGUCACACUUUUUGAUGGAGGGGGAAUGUAUGAAGUCUAUCUCCUCCGAUGCAGCAAGAUUCUUUGGACUUCGGCUAGCAAAGGAAAGGUGAAAUCCACUGAUUAGGAUAGACUAAGACACCCACCACUUACGUAACUAAGGGUACUGACUUAUGCGGUAGGAAAGCGGAAUGAAUCCCUGUACACUCAAUGCAUGCUGUGAAAGUAAGUCUAUUAAUUCUACCUAAUGAACUGAUUCAACCUCAUUCCCACAGAUUAUUUCGGACCGGGUUGAAGUGCUUUCCGAUGAAGAAGUUGUCUUGUAUAAGGUUGGUGAUGAACGGCCUUAGGGUCCCUACACUACUGGACUCGAAACUAAUCCUAUGCCUUGUGAAAACUCAUCCUAUGCCUUGUUAAUUAGUCUAUACUAUCUAUAAGCUAUAAGGUAAGCCAGAUCUAUAAGGUAAGCCAGUGGCAUGUCCCUGAGUGGUUAACUGAACUCCCUUUCUCUUUUCCUCUGUAUUUGAUUUCUGAGCUCUAGCUUCUGGCAUUCUUAUGUCUUAACGGAAUGGCUGCUCAACUUCUUACCUGUCCUCUUCAAUACAAGGCGAAAGGUGGAAAAGACCUAUUUAGGAAUGAGAUCUUUCUUUCCCCAAUACCAAAGUCAGGGCACUUCCUUCUUUGAGCAUUUAAGAUGGAGAUAAUCGCUCUUUUCUGUGAUUUGAUCUUGCCGUUAAGAAGGACGCUAAAGAAGAGUCAAACUAUCCCUCUUCGGGACCAGAAGGAAACCGCAGCUCGUUGCGCAUUAGCUUCAAACAUGGAAUCUCAGGCACGGCAUAAUUCUCCAUGACUGCGUCUAUACACUCACUGCUUAGCGUAAGUAGGGUAGCUUACUUUAUACUUUAGGUCCAUAAGAGAUUGAGAUUCAGUCCCAUACGUCUCUUAUGGUGCCCGAUCCGAUACAGCAAGUUCUAGUGAAAGAGCUCCUCCGUCCACGAGUAGAUCCUUUCUCCUAUGAAAUAAGCACAGUACAGCGAAAUAAGCACAGUACAACCACUAUUUUCGCCCGGGGACUCGACCGAUAUACUCUAAUCUUUGCUUCGCAACCUUAUUAUUUUGUAUAUAAUUUGAUCUUCCUUAUUAUUUUGUAUCUUUUGCUUCGCAACCUUAUUAUUUUGUAUAUCUUUGGGUGCUCAGUGUUCAAGAGGUUUCGGAUAAAAGACGAAGGUUGUCUCUCUCUUUGGAUUCGAAUCUUCAUUCUUUUCAUUUUCUGACGGAAGGGAUUUCCACUUAUACUGGAACGAGAAGAGAAAACACACUUUUGAGAACGAAACGACGACUUUGAAGAAUUGCCCACUGCCCCGCCACACCUAAGCUGUCUUUCCCGGCUUCUAACUCUUCCACGACUCACUCUAAAACCAACACUACUGCCCGGCAUUCCUUUAAUGGAGUUUUGGUCUCCUCCACCCUCCUACUGUCUGUGUCAUUACCUUUAAGUCUCCGAACUCUGCUUUUCACUCUUCAAUUGCUUGUUGCGAGUCCACCUCCCCUUGUAGAAAAUCCUUAUUGAACCUAUCAGC